ensembl:lncRNA
AUGUGGGGCUGCGAUAUGUGGGGCUGUGAUGUGUGGGGCUGAGACGUGGAGGGCAGGGACAGACAGACGGACACGGAUGGGGACAGACGGACGGACACAGAUGGGGACAGAGAGGCACAGACAGAUGGGGACAGAUGGACACAGAUGGGGACAGACAGACGGACACGGAUGGGGACAGACGGACACAGACAGAUGGGGACAGACGGACACAGACAGAUGGGGACAGACAGACGGACACAGAUGGGGACAGACAGACGGAUAUGGGGACAGACAGACAGACACAGAUGGGGACAGACGGACACGGAUGGGGACAGACAGACACGGAUGGGGACAGACAGAUGGACACAGAUGGGGACAGACAGACGGACACAGAUGAGGACAGACAGACGGACACGGAUGGGGACAGACAGACAGACACAGAUGGGGACAGACAGACGGACACAGAUGGGGACAGACAGACACAGAUGGGGACAGACAGACGGACACAGAUGGGGACAGACAGACGGACGUGGAUGGGGACAGACAGACACAGACAGAUGGGGACAGACAGACACAGAUGGGGACAGACAGACAGACACGAAUGGGGACAGACAGACAGACACAGAUGGGGACAGACAGACAGACACAGAGGGGGACAGACAGACAGAUGGGGACAGACAGACAGACGGACACGGAUGGGGACAGACAGACGGACAUGGAUGGGGACAGACGGACAGACGGGGCCGGAUGGGGAUAAGGACAGACAGACGGACGUGGAGGGGGACAGACGGACAUAUGGGGACAGAUGGGGAUCAGGACAGACAGACGGACACAGAUGGGGACAGCCGGCCAGGGGCAGGGAGGACAGAGGGACAGAUGGGGACAGAGGGACGGGGACGGACAGAGGGACAGAUGGGGACAGACGGACGGGGAUGGGGACGGCCUGCGGUGAUGGAUGGGGACAGACGGACGGGGACGGACGGACGGACGGAC